AUUGAACGCUGGCGGCAUGCCUUACACAUGCAAGUCGAACGGUAACAGGUCUUCGGAUGCUGACGAGUGGCGAACGGGUGAGUAGUACAUCGGAACGUGCCCGAGAGUGGGGGAUAACGAGGCGAAAGCUUUGCUAAUACCGCAUACGAUCUCAGGAUGGAAGCAGGGGACCGCAAGGCCUUGCGCUCACGGAGCGGCCGAUGGCAGAUUAGGUAGUUGGUGGGAUAAAAGCUUACCAAGCCGACGAUCUGUAGCUGGUCUGAGAGGACGACCAGCCACACUGGGACUGAGACACGGCCCAGACUCCUACGGGAGGCAGCAGUGGGGAAUUUUGGACAAUGGGCGCAAGCCUGAUCCAGCCAUGCCGCGUGCAGGAUGAAGGCCUUCGGGUUGUAAACUGCUUUUGUACGGAACGAAAAGACUCUGGUUAAUACCUGGGGUCCAUGACGGUACCGUAAGAAUAAGCACCGGCUAACUACGUGCCAGCAGCCGCCGUAAAAC
rnacentral:rRNA from 1 species